rnacentral:rRNA from 1 species
GGGCUCACACAAGCGGUGGAGCAUGUGGCUUAAUUCGAGGCAACGCGAAGAACCUUAUCCUGGGUUUGACAUGCAUGGAUUAACCCUAUGAAAGUAGGGCCACGCUCGCAAGAGUGGAACAUGCACAGGUGCUGCAUGGCUGUCGUCAGCUCGUGUCGUGAGAUGUCGCGUUAAGUCGCUAAACGAGCGAAACCCUUAUCCCUAGUUGCCAGCGAGUCAUGUCGGGGACUCUAGGGAGACUGCCGGUGUCAAACCGGAGGAAGGCGGGGAUGACGUCAAGUCCUCAUGGCUUUAUGCCCAGGGCUGCACACGUGCUACAAUGGGGCGUACAAAGCGCUGCAAGUCCGCGAGGACAAGCGAA